GGCACGGUAGUUAAGUGGUUAGCACAUUUGCCUCACAUCUCCGGGGCUGGGGGUUCGAUUCCUGCCUCUGCCC